GUUGCUGAGCGGUAAAGCGCUUGGCUUUGAACCGGGGGUCCCGGGUUCGAAUCCUGAUGAAAACU
rnacentral:tRNA from 1 species